UCGAGCGGAAUUUUAUUGGGUGCUUGCACCUUUAAAAUUUUAGCGGCGGACGGGUGAGUAACACGUGGGUAACCUACCUUAUAGAUUGGGAUAACUCCGGGAAACCGGGGCUAAUACCGAAUAAUACUUUUUAACACAUGUUUUGAAGUUGAAAGACGGUUUCGGCUGUCACUAUAAGAUGGACCCGCGGCGCAUUAGCUAGUUGGUGAGGUAACGGCUCACCAAGGCAACGAUGCGUAGCCGACCUGAGAGGGUGAUCGGCCACACUGGGACUGAGACACGGCCCAGACUCCUACGGGAGGCAGCAGUAGGGAAUCUUCCACAAUGGACGAAAGUCUGAUGGAACAACGCCGCGUGAGUGAAGAAGGAUUUCGGUUCGUAAAACUCUGUUGCAAGGGAAGAACAAGUAGCGUAGUAACUGGCGCUACCUUGACGGUACCUUGUUAGAAAGCCACGGCUAACUACGUGCCAGCAGCCGCGGUAAUACGUAGGUGGCAAGCGUUGUCCGGAAUUAUUGGGCGUAAAGCGCGCGCACGUGGUUCCUUAAGUCUGAUGUGAAAGCCCCCGGCUCAACCGGGGAGGGUCA
rnacentral:rRNA from 1 species